GGCUGUGGCUCAGUGGUAGAGCACUUGCCUUGCACACAUGAGACAAUGGGUUCCAUCCUCAGCACCA
rnacentral:tRNA from 1 species